AUUGAACGCUGGCGGCAAGCCUAACACAUGCAAGUCGAACGAGUGGCGGACGGGUGAGUACUGUCUGGGAAACUGCCUGAUGGUGGGGGCUAACUACUGGAAACGGUAGCUAAUACCGCAUACCAUCGGAUGUGCCCCGAUGGGAUUAGCUAGUAGGUGGGGUAAAGGCUCACCUAGGCGACGAUCCCUAGCUGGUCUGAGAGGAUGACAAGCAAAACUGGACCUGUGACACGGUCCAGACUCCUACGGGAGGCAGCAGUGGGGAAUAGUGCACAAUGGGCGCAAGCCUGAUGCAGCCAGGACGCGUGUGUGAAGAAGGCCUUCGGGUUUUAAAGUACUUUCAGCGGGGAGGCGUUACCCGCAGAAGAAGCACCGGCUAACUCCGGGCCAGCAGCCGCGGUAAUUU
rnacentral:rRNA from 1 species